rnacentral:rRNA from 1 species
GCUUCUGACCAUACCACCCUCAAAUCCUGUGAUCCCAUCAGCUCUCAUGUGCCAAGAAGGUUCAGGGCCUGCUCAGGAUUUGUAUGGGAGACCAGGUGCUGUAGAAAAUGGGCAGCC